AAUAAAAAAAAGCCUUGCUUGACUAAGGACAAAUGGGUCAAUGAGACAAUACGUAGGCUAACUGCCCAUAUAUUGUAACUAGGAUUUACAUUGAUUCAUAUAAAUAUUCCUCGUCCUCAAUCAAGGCAACACCUAACAUCAAAAACGUUAAACAUUACACAAUGAAGUUUGUAGAACCGCAAAUUUACAUGUCUAUAAACUUCUGAUAGUGGUCAGCACAAGUUAAAAUUGAAUAGUGGAGCGAUUCUAAGAACACUGAUUUGACACUAAGGCAGCAGCCACCCCCCCACCCCCGAGUCCUA
rnacentral:misc_RNA from 1 species